rnacentral:rRNA from 1 species
UGCGUAGGCGGUUUGGUAAGUCAGAUGUGAAAUCCCGGGGCUCAACCCCGGAACUGCAUCCGAUACUGCCAGACUAGAGGACUGGAGAGGUGACUGGAAUUCUCGGUGUAGCAGUGAAAUGCGUAGAGAUCGAGAGGAACACUCGUGGCGAAGGCGAGUCACUGGACAGUAUCUGACGCUGAGGCACGAAGGCCAGGGUAGCGAAAG